GCCUUCUUAGCUCAGUGGCAGAGCGUUGGUCUUGUAAACCAAAGGCCGAGAGUUCAAUCCUCUCAGGAGGCA
rnacentral:tRNA from 1 species